AACGAACACUGGCGGCAUGGAUUAGGCAUGCAAGUCGAACGAGAAAGUUCCCUUCGGGGAAUGAGUAAAGUGGCGAACGGGUGAGUAACGCGUGGGAAACCUGCCCUUUUGUGGGGGAUAACAGUUCUAACGAGCUGCUAAUACCGCAUACGAACUUCGGAUCGCAUGGUCUGAAGUUGAAAGGUGGCCUCUCUUUGAAGCUGCCGCAAAAGGAUGGUCCCGCGUCCCAUUAGCUUGUUGGUGGGGUAAUGGCCUACCAAGGCGACGAUGGGUAGCCGGCCUGAGAGGGUGUCCGGCCACACUGGGACUGAGAUACGGCCCAGACUCCUACGGGAGGCAGCAGUCGAGAAGCUUCGGCAAUGGGCGAAAGCCUGACCGAGCGAUGCCGCGUGAGCGAAGAAGGCCCUAUGGGUUGUAAAGCUCUGUCA
rnacentral:rRNA from 1 species